UACAGAGGUCCCAAGCGUUGUUCGGAUUCACUGGGCGUAAAGGGUGCGUAGGCGGUCGGGUAAGUCUGAUGUGAAAUCUCCAAGCCUAACUUGGAAACUGCAUUGGAUACUAUCCGGCUAGAGGAAUGGAGGGGAGACUGGAAUACUUGGUGUAGCAGUGAAAUGCGUAGAUAUCAAGUGGAACACCAGUGGCGAAGGCGAGUCUCUGGACAUUUCCUGACGCUGAGGCACGAAAGCCAGGGGAGCAAACGGG
rnacentral:rRNA from 1 species